GUCCACGCCCUAAACUUUGUCAACUGGCUUUUCGGAGUAUCGACCCUCUGAGAGGCGAAGCUAACGCGUUAAGUUGACCGCCUGGGUAGUACGACCGCAAGGUUAAAACUCAAAGGAAUAGACGGGGACUUGCACAAGCAGUGGAUUAUGUGGUUUAAUUCGACGGUAAACGAAGAACCUUACCAAGAUUUGAAACCUAGCUGAAUAUUUUGGAAACAGAAAUAGUCCCACAAGGACAGUUAGGCAGGUGAUGCAUGGCCGUCGU
rnacentral:rRNA from 1 species